rnacentral:lncRNA from 1 species
AAAAAAUUACUUCUAGGAUGAAGCAUUUUACCUCUUUUUCAUUUUCUAAGAUGAUCUCUCAGAUACCUUGCGAAGCCACGCAGAACAAAAGGGAGUCAUUACAUAUUUGGAAAAUGCAUUGGACCUCAUGAUUUGGGAAUGAGCUAUAAGACUGACAGCUGGGACAGCUAAUUUAAGAGUAGAAUUCUUUAGGUCCUGUACCUUAAAGGAAAAGACAGUUUUCAGGAGCUGCCAUUAAGAAUAAUCUGAGGCUUGGCUGCUCCUAUUCAUCCUCCACUUCCUGAGGUCAGUGGAGGGAAGCUGUCCAGUGAGAAGGUGGACUUCUGAUUACAUGGAGGAGAAAACGUGAAGGCGCCACUUCCUCGAAGGGCCUGAGGACCACUGACUAUAAGAAGAAAGACUCGCUGGGCAUGGUGGCUCACGCCUGUAAUCCCAGCACUUUGGGAGGCCAACGCAGGUGGAUCACUUGAGGUCAGGAGUUCAAGACCAACCUGGCCAACAUGGUGAAACCCCAUCUCUACUAAAAAUAUAAAAACUAGCCAGGCUUGGUGGUGGGCACCUGUAAUCCCAGCUACUUGGGAGGCUGAGGCAGGAGAAUUGCUUGAACCCAGGAGACGGAGGUUGCAGCCAGCCGACACAGUGCCACUGUACUCCAGCCUUGGUGACAGAGUGAGAAUCUGUCUCAAAAAAAAAAAAAAAAAAAGAAGAAGAAAGACUCAACCCGUUCUGCCUGUCCUCUAAUCCUCAUCCCUCAUCUCUAUCAUCUCUAGAGCUAUUACCAAAUGUUUUCAUUAAUGGAAUAACUUGCUGCUCUGGGCCACCAGUAUUAGCAAAUAUAUGGGUUCCAAUUGGUUUAAAAUAGUAUAUUAAAUUACAAGUCAAAACAACUUUGAUCUGGAUUGUAACUCAAGAGAAUUGUUAAUGUUUUGAAAAGAUCUGGGGCCCAUGCAUAUGAAAGGUUCAUUCUGGUUAGGGAUUUGUGGUCCAAUUUGCUUCCAAGCCCUGGUAGGAAUGCAUCAACCCCUCA